UACGAAGGGGGCUAGCGUUGCUCGGAAUCACUGGGCGUAAAGGGUGCGUAGGCGGGUUUUUAAGUCAGAGGUGAAAUCCUGGAGCUCAACUCCAGAACUGCCUUUGAUACUGAAAGUCUUGAGUAUGGGAGAGGUGAGUGGAACUGCGAGUGUAAGGUGGUGAAAUUCGUAGAUAUUCGCAAGAACACCAGUGGCGAAGGCGGCUCACUGGCCCAUAACUGACGCUGAGGCACGAAAGCGUGGGGAGCAACAGG
rnacentral:rRNA from 1 species